UACGUAGGGGGCAAGCGUUGUCCGGAUUUACUGGGCGUAAAGAGCGUGUAGGCGGCCAAGCAGGUCCGUUGUGAAAACUGGAGGCUUAACCUCCAGACGUCGACGGAAACCGCGUGGCUAGAGUCCGGAAGAGGAGAGUGGAAUUCCUGGUGUAGCGGUGAAAUGCGCAGAUAUCAGGAAGAACACCAAUGGCGAAGGCAGCUCUCUGGGACGGUACUGACGCUGAAACGCGAAAGCGUGGGGAGCGAACAGG
rnacentral:rRNA from 1 species